rnacentral:rRNA from 1 species
UACAGAGGGUGCAAGCGUUAAUCGGAAUUACUGGGCGUAAAGCGUGCGCAGACGGUUGCGUAAGUCAGAUGUGAAAUCCCCGGGCUUAACCUGGGAAUGGCAUUUGGGACUGCAAGGCUUGAGUGCGGCAGAGGAGACUGGAAUUCCUGGUGUAGCAGUGAAAUGCGUAGAUAUCAGGAGGAACACCGAUGGCGAAGGCAGGUCUCUGGGCUGACACUGACGCUCAUGCACGAAAGCGUGGGGAGCAAACAGG